AGAGCACUCUACGGGAGGCAGCAGUGGGAAUAUUGGACAAGUGGGGCAACCCUGAUCCAGCCAUGCCGCGUGAGUGAAGAAGGCCCUAGGGUCGUAAAGCUCUUUCAACUGUGAAGAUAAUGACGGUAGCAGUAGAAGAAACCCCGGCUAACUCCGUGCCAGCAGCCGCGGUAAUAGAGGAGGGGUUAGCGUUGUUCGGAAUUACUGGGCGUAAAGCGCACGUAGGCGGACUAUUAAGUUAGAGGUGAAAUCCAGGGCUCAACCCUGGAACUGCCUUUAAUACUGGUAGUCUUGAGUUCGAGAGAGGUGAGUGGAAUUCCGAGUGUAGAGGUGAAAUUCGUAGAUAUUCGGAGGAACACCAGUGGCGAAGGCGGCUCACUGGCUCGAUACUGACGCUGAGGUGCGAAAGUGUGGGAGCAAACAGGAUUAGAUACCCUGGUAG
rnacentral:rRNA from 1 species